UGUCCCGCGCGCGCGCCGCUCGCACGCUCCCCGCGCGGAGCGCUUGUGUGGGCUCCGGCGCGGCCAUGGCUCAGCACUUCUCCCUGGCCGCCUGCGACGUGGUCGGCUUCGACCUGGACCACACUCUGUGUCGCUACAACCUGCCCGAGAGCGCCCGGCUCGUUUAUAAUAGCUUUGCCCAGUUCCUGGUCAAGGAGAAGGGGUAUGACAAGGAAUUGCUUACUGUGACUCCAGAGGAUUGGGAUUUCUGUUGCAAGGGCCUGGCAUUGGAUCUGGAAGAUGGGAGCUUCAUUAAACUUGCAGAUAAUGGCACUGUGCUCAGGGCAAGCCGUGGCACAAAGAUGGUGGCUGCGCAGGCGCUGGCAGAGGAGUAUGGCAGCAAGGAGUGGAAGCACUUCAUGAUGGACACAGAGACGGCUUCCCGAUCAGGAAAAUAUUAUUUUUAUGAUAACUACUUCGAUCUGCCAGGAGCCCUUCUAUGCGCCAGAGUGGUGGACUAUUUAACAAAGCAGAACAAUGGUCAAAAAACAUUUGAUUUUUGGAAGGAUAUAAUUGCUGCUAUACAACACAAUUAUAAAAUGUCAGCUUUUAAGGAAAACUGUGGAAUAUAUUUUCCAGAAAUAAAAAGAGAUCCAGGCAAAUAUGUACACAGGUGUCCCGAAUCUGUAAAAAAGUGGCUUCGACAACUUAAGAAUGCAGGGAAGAUUCUUCUCCUAAUUACCAGUUCUCACAGUGAUUACUGUCGACUUCUCUGUGAAUAUAUCCUUGGGAAUGAUUUUCCAGAUCUUUUCGAUGUCAUUAUUACAAAUGCAUUGAAGCCUGGUUUCUUCUCUCAUUUACCAAGUCAAAGGCCUUUCUGGACACUUGAGAAUGAUGAGGAGCAGGAGGCAUUGCCAUCUCUAGAUAAACCUGGCUGGUACUCCCAAGGGAAUGCUGUUCACCUUUAUGAACUUCUGAAGAAAAUGACUGGCAAAGCUGAACCCAAGGUGGCUUACUUUGGUGACAGCAUGCAUUCAGAUAUUUUUCCAGCCCGUCAUUAUAGAAACUGGGAGACGGUCCUCAUCUUGGAAGAGCUCAGAGAGGACAGGGAUGGGACAGCUGAGGAAUCCGAGCCACUAGAGAAAAAAGGAAAAUAUGAGGAGCCAAAGUCAAAACCUCUAAAUACAUUAUCUAAAAAAUGGGGCUCUUUUUUUGUUGAUUCCAUUUCGGGACUGGAAAAUACAGAAGACUCCUUGGUUUAUACAUGGUCUUGCAAGAGAAUCAGUACUUACAGCACUAUUGCAAUUCCAAGUAUUGAAGCAAUAGCAGAAUUAUCCCUGGACUACAAAUUUACAAGGUUCUCUUCAAACAAUUCAAAAAUCGCUGGCUACUAUCCAAACCCUCCAUUGGUCUUAUCAAGUGCUGAGGAAGCCAAAAUGAAGGAGAGAUGAAACUGGUCCAAGUAACCUUAGAAAGAGAUGAGCUAUCUGGGCCUAUGGAGAAGUUGGGUCAUUAUAAUGACAGCCACACCAGCACAUAGACUGCUUGACAAUCAGAUCUUGCAGCCCACGGUAAUUCUACUAGAGAAUGGACAAAUCUUUAUUUCCCAAACCUUGUAAUGACAAUAGCUCCUGAACAACAAAACUAAUGCUACUGGUAA